AAGGAAAAAAUUUCAAAUAGCUCAUGACUUGGAGAAACAUUUUCUAAAUAAUUUCGUCGACGGAUUCGAUAUUUACAACAUUUUGUACCCUUUUCCCGUUCAUCUUACAAACGACAAUUUACACAAGGACCAAAUAAACUGUAAUAAUCUAUUUCAAUUCGUCGUCCAACCUUAUUUGAAAUUAAAGGCGCUUAAAUGGACGUUUUUUAACACGGAUUGUUACGAAAAUUUUGAAAAAGAGUUAUUUCAAGGUGUUACAGAAAAAGUUGAGUAUCUUUUAAAUAAUAGUAAAAUUAAAAUUCUUGUUCUCACUGGAAUAUUAGAUUACGUAGUCAAUGUAGCCGGAACCGUCGAUUGGAUUAAAAAAUUGAACUGGGAGGGAAUUCAAGAAUGGAAAGACCAAAAACAAACCACUUUUGCAAUCGAUAAUAUCAAUGAGGCGUUCGUUAGAAAAAUUGAUAGGUUAUCUUUUUAUGCAGUUUUGAGAGCUGGACACAGUAUACCUAAAGAUAAUCCGAAAGCUGUGUUGGAAAUUUUAAGAAGAGAAAUUUUAGAAGAAUUUUUAUAAUCUAAUAAAACAUAAAUCAAAUUGUUUUUUUUUAAUAAAUUUAAAUCCGCAAACA